CGCGAAGAACCUUACCUACUCUUGACAUCCAGAGAACUUAGCAGAGAUGCUUUGGUGCCUUCGGGAACUAUGAGACAGGUGCUGCAUGGCUGUCGUCAGCUCGUGUUGUGAAAUGUUGGGUUAAGUCCCGCAACGAGCGCAACCCUUAUCUUUUGUUGCCAGCGAUUCGGUCGGGAACUCAAAGGAGACUGCCAGUGAUAAACUGGAGGAAGGUGGGGAUGACGUCAAGUCAUCAUGGCCCUUACGAGUAGGGCUACACACGUGCUACAAUGGCAUAUACAAAGAGAAGCGACCUCGCGAGAGCAAGCGGACCUCAUAAAGUAUGUUGUAGUC
rnacentral:rRNA from 1 species